GGUAGUGUGGCCGAGCGGUCUAAGGCGCUGGACUUAAGUUCCAGUCUCUAUACGAGACGUGGGUUCAAAUCCCACCACUGCCA